GGGUGCGAUCAUACCAGCGUUAAUGCACUGGAUCCCAUCAGAACUCUGUAGUUAAGUGCACUUGGGCUAUUGUAUCACUGGGAUGGGUGACCUCCCAGGAAGUCCUAGUGUUGCACCAU
rfam:Picea glauca, whole genome shotgun sequence.